rnacentral:rRNA from 1 species
CCCUUAGAUGUUCUGGGCCGCACGCGCGCUACACUGACGAAUGCAACGAGCUUAUAACCUUGGCCGAAAGGUCUGGGUAAUCUCCAAAUUUCGUCGUGAUGGGGAUAGAUUAUUGCAAUUAUUAAUCUUCAACGAGGAAUGCCUAGUAAGCGCAAGUCAUCAGCUUGCGUUGAUUACGUCCCUGCCCUUUGUACACACCGCCCGUCGCUCCUACCGAUUGAAUGGUCCGGUGAAGCGUUCGGACCGUGGCCUUUGGACGGUUCGCCGUCUGUUGGCUGCGGGAAGUUCGUUAAACCUUAUCAUUUAGAGGAAGUAAAANUCGUANCA